rnacentral:rRNA from 1 species
CCCUUAGAUGUUCUGGGCUGCACGCGCGCUACACUGAUGCGAUCAACAAGUUUUUCCUAUGUCGAUAGACACGGGUAAUCUUUUGAACUCGCAUCGUGAUGGGGAUAGAUUAUUGUAAUUAUUAAUCUUCAACGAGGAAUUCCUAGUAGGUGCAAAUCAUCAGUUUGCAUCGAUUACGUCCCUGCCCUUUGUACACACCGCCCGUCGCUGCUACCGAUUGGUUGAUCUGGUGAAUUAUUCGGACUGCCGGCUGAAGGGGUUUCCUCAUCUGCCAGCGGAAAGUCUUGUUAACCCUAUCAACUAGAGGAAGCAGAAGUCGUAACU